rnacentral:sRNA from 1 species
GGAUGUGAGGGCCAUCUGGCUGCUACAUCUGUCACCCCAUUGACCACCAGGGUUGAUUUGGCAAAUCUGGCUGGCUAAGCGGGUGUCUCCUUCUUCCUUCACCCUCCAUGUGAAUCCCUCCAAAACCUAAGCACUCAGGAGGCAGAGCCGAGAUGGCAAAGUAUAGGCAGGGACUCACCUGAGCUCUCCCCCAAACCCUUCCAAAUACCUUU